rnacentral:misc_RNA from 1 species
CUAUUAGGAAAAUACACAAGGCAUUAGACUGGGAGGAUAUUGAACUGGUAGAACUUCUCUUGUGGGAAUCUAAUGUAACACUGGACGAUGCCAAUUCUCUUCAUUAUGCUGUUGCAUACUGUGACAGCAAGGUUGUACUCGAGUUGCUUCGCCUUGAUUUUACUGAUGUCAACCGUAGAAAUUCACAAGGUUACACACCUCUUCACAUUGCAGCAAUGCGUAGAGAACCAUCAAUCAUUGUGUCUCUCCUAAUAAAAGGGGCUAGUGCUUCAGUCUUAACAUUUGAUGGGCGAAGUGCUCUUAGCAUCUGUCGAAGAUUGACUAGCAUAAAAAAUUAUAAUGCUAAAACAGAGCGGGGUCAGGCAACAAAUAAAGACCGACUAUGCAUUGAUAUUUUAGAGAGAGAAAUGCGGAGAAACCCCAUGGCUGAUGAUGCUUCCAUCACUUCCCAAGAUGCUGUAGAUGAUACUUUUGAUUUGAAUCUAUAGCCUGUUUGCUAAAGAUGAUUCAUGUCUCUCUUUGUUAGCAACGCGUACUACUACUCGGGUAGUAAACCAAGCUGUUCUAUUUGAUUUGUUUAUAAGACCAAGUUAUGCUGCUUGAUUUCCAUUAUCCAAUUAAAUUUAAAAAUAAACAAUAUAAAUAUUUCCCUCUCAUCCGUAUAUAUAUAUAUAAAUAUUUCC